rnacentral:rRNA from 1 species
GAUGAACGCUGGCGGCGUGCCUAAUACAUGCCAGUCGAGCGAACGGACGAGAAGCUUGCUUCUCUGAUGUUAGCGGCGGACGGGUGAGUAACACGUGGAUAACCUACCUAUAAGACUGGGAUAACUUCGGGAAACCGGCGCUAAUACCGGAUGAUAUUUUGAACCGCGUGGUUCAAAAGUGAAAGACGGUCUUGCUGUAACUUAUAGAUGGAUCCGCGCUGCAUUAGCUAGUUGGGAAGGUAACGGCUUACCAAGGCAACGAUGCAUAGCCGACCUGAGAGGGGGAUAGGCGACACUGGAACUGAGACGCGGUCCAGACUCCUACGGGAGGCAGCAGUAGCGAAUCUUCCGCAAUGGGCGAAAGCCUGACGGAGCAACGCCGCGUGAGUGAUGAAGGUCUUCGGAUCGUAAAACUCUGUUAUUAGGGAAGAACAUAUGUGUAAGUAACUGUGCACAUCUUGACGGUACCUAAUCAGAAAGCCACGGCUAACUACGUG